rnacentral:misc_RNA from 1 species
AGCAGCCGCGGUAAUUCCAGCUCCAAUAGCGUAUAUUGAAGUUGUUGCAGUUAAAAAGCUCGUAGUUGAAUUUCGGGAUCAAGUCGUCGGUCGUGCUCAGGUACGUACUGGCGUCAUUGAUUUCUCCCUUCUGACGAACCAUGAUGUCAUUAAUUUGGUGUCAUGGGAAAUCAGGACUGUUACUUUGAAAAAUUAGAGUGUUUAAAGCAGGCUCACGCUUGAAUACAUUAGCAUGGAAUAAUGAAAUAGGACGUUCGAUCCUAUUUUGUUGGUUUUUAGGAUCAACGUAAUGAUUAAUAGGGAUAGUUGGGGGCAUUAGUAUUCAAUUGUCAGAGGUGAAAUUCUUGGAUUUAUUGAAGACUAACUACUGCGAAAGCAUUUGCCAAGGAUGUUUUCAUUAAUCAAGAACGAAAGUUAGGGGAUCGAAGACGAUCAGAUACCGUCGUAGUCUUAACCAUAAACUAUGCCGACUAGGGAUCGGAUGAUGUUAAUUUUUAAUGACUCAUUCC